AAUACUUUAAAGCAAUUAUGCUUUCAUAAUAUCUUCAAUAUUAGGCUUUAAUAUAAGCUAUUAAAAUA
rnacentral:tRNA from 1 species